AAGCAGCAGAAUUCUUAGGUUUAAAUACAUUGUUUUAUAGAUUUUAAUACAUCCAUCUACAGAGCCUCGCAGGGUGACCUUUGAGGUUGGCCUUUAAUGUCUUAUGUGGGUCUGCCUAGAAACUAAUCGUUUUUUAUGUUAAUCAGGUUUAAAAGUACUAAGUAUUCCUAAAAAAUAUACACACCACUUACAUGUGGAUACUUCCUAAAAACAAGCAGUGCAUGAGCACUAGUGAGGGGCAUUGUGACUGCGUUGAACACUUGCAACUGUGAGGUGAAUAAAGUCUGUACUGACUCGUGGUUGCAACAUACAGUACCACAGUGUGCUGCUUUGUAUUGAGGAGAUGUCCUGGACUCACCCGGAAACUCAAGGCUACGGAAUGGUGGUAAAUUUAAAAUACAACAAGUGGGAGUCACAGAUACAUUGUCUGGGAAAGUGAAACUUAGGAGCUUUGUGAAUCCUGUUGUAACGCUUUUAGACACAUUUAUAUAUCAAGGGGCCAAAGUCACAUUUUUCACCAAUUAGAUUCCUGAUCAUUCAGGGGUUACCAAGACUCUGCUACUCACUGUAGUUAAUAAACAAAAAGCAAACUGGUCUCUGUUCUAUCUCAUGCACUCAGGCACAACUUUUCCAGAUUUAAAGAGAAAGAAAAAAGAAAAGAAAAAGAAGCCCUGUCUCUACACCUCCAUUCCCAGGGCAAGCUCACUCUCUGGCAACAAGCUCUCUGGGGUGAGUUUUCUUCUAGAAGAGUCCACUGGGACAGGUAACAGGUUUUUAGAGAAGCCAGAGUCGCCGCGGUCCCGGUUCUAAAGUCCUCGCUCACCCACUCAGACUCAGAUUCUCCCCAGACGCCAAGGAUGGUGGUCAUGGCGCCCCGAACCCUCCUGCUGCUGCUCUCGGGGGCUCUGGCCCUGACAGAGACAUGGGCGGGUGAGUGCGGGAUCGGGAGAUGGCCUCUGCGGGGAGGGGCCAGGGGACCGCCCGACGGUGGUGCAGGACCCGGGGAGCCGCGCGGGGAGGAGGGUCGGGCGGGUCUCAGCCCCUCCUCGCCCCCAGGCUCCCACUCCAUGAGGUACUUCAGCGCUGCCCUGUCCCGGCCCGGCCGCGGGAAGCCCCGCUUCAUCGCGGUGGGCCACGUGGAAGACACGCAGUUCCUGCGGCUCGAUAGCGACGCUGCGAGUCCGAGGAUGGAGCCUCGGGCGCCGUGGGUGGAGCAGGAGGGGCCAGAGUAUUGGGAAGAGGAGACACGGAUCGCCAAGGCCCACGCACACACUGACAGAGUGAACCUGCGGACACUGCGCAGCUACUACAACCAGAGCCAGGCCGGUGUGAACAGUUCGCCUACGAUGGCAAGGAUUACCUCGCCCUGAACGAGGACCUGUGCUCCUGAACCGCAGCGGACACUGUGGCUCAGAUCUCCAAGCGCAAGUGUGAGGCGGCCAAAGCGACUGAACGAAGGAGAGCCUACCUGGAGGGCACAUCCCCCCAAUUCACACGUGACCCACCAUCCUGUCUUUGACUAUGAUGCCACCCUGAGGUGCUGAGCCCUGGGCUUCUACCCUGUGGAGAUCAGACUGACCUGGCAGUGGGAGAGUGAGGACCAGACCCACGACGUGGAGCUCGUGGGGACCAGGCCUGCAGGGGAUGGAACCUUCCAGAAGUGGGCAGCUGUGGUGGUGCCUUCUGGAGAGGAGCAGAGAUUCACGUGCUAGGUGCAGCACCAGGGGCUGCCUGAGCCCCUCAUGCUCAGAUGGAGUAAGGAGGGAGAUGGAGGUGUCAUGUCUCUUAGGGAAAGCAGGAGCCCCUCUGGAGACCUUUAACAGGGUCGGUGGUGGGGCCUGGGGUCAGAGACCCUCACCUUCCCCUCCUUUCCCAGAGCGGUCUUUCCAGCCCACUAUCCUCAUCAUGGGCAUCAUUGCUGGACUGGUUGUCUUUGCAGCUGUUGUCACUGAAGCUGUGGUCACUUUUGUGCUGUGGAGGAAGAAGAGCUCUGAGUUUUUUUGUCCCACUGAGGGUUCCAAGCCCCAGGUAGAAAUGCCCUGCCUGGUUACUGGGAAGCACCAUCUACACUCAUGGGCCGACCCAGCCUACGCCCUGUGUGCCAGCACUUACUCUUUUGUAAAGCACAUGUGACAAAGAAGCACAGAUUUAUCACCUUGAUGAUUGUAGUGAUGGGGACCUGAUCCCAGUAAUCACAGGUCAGGGGAAGGUCCCUGGCUAAGGACAGACCUUAGGAAGGCAGUUAGUCCAGGACCCACAUCUGGUUUCCUUGUUUUCCCUUAUCCUGCCCUGGGUCUGCAGUCACACAUUUCUGGAAACUUCUCUGGGGUCCAAGACUAGCAGUUUCCUCUAGGGUCUCAUGGUGCUGCCACCUUUCUGACCUCUCAAAGGACAUUUUCUUCUCACAGAUAGAAAAGGAGGGAGCUACUCUUGUGCUGAUUUGUUGCAGAGGAGGAGACUAGAUGGGGCUGUGCACAGUGGGUGCUCAGGCCACCAUGAACUUUAUGUGGUCACUGCUCAGCUGGGUCAUCUUUGCUGCUCCAUUGUCUUUGGCUCUUCAGUAGAACCUUGUCCCAGCAGGACCUGUGAUCACAGGUGUUAGGCAGGAAUCUAGACCCAACAUGGCGGCGUUACCCGGCGUAGCAGGCCUUCUGUUAAAGACUCCCUUCACCCUUGUACACACCCGCAGACUUCCAUGCAUCAGAGUUCUGGCUGGGCAACCACACUCCCCCAUGACCCGCAGCUCACCUGCAUUCCACAAGUUCGUAAACAGCAGUUUCGGUUGACAGUUUCCAAAGACCCCUUCCUCAUGACCCUUACUCAACUCCUGCCCUAGUAGUUUCAAGAUCCCCCAGGCCCUGUUUGCACUACCAGCUUCCCUACCUCUCGGGCUAUAAAAAGCCCCUCAGCGCUAAUUCCUCGGCCCGCACCUUUGGACCGAGAAACCUCGCCUGCGAGUCCUAAUAAAGGCUAUUCUCACUGC